rnacentral:rRNA from 1 species
UACGUAGGGUGCAAGCGUUGUCCGGAAUUAUUGGGCGUAAAGAGCUCGUAGGCGGUUUGUCGCGUCUGCUGUGAAAUCUGGGGGCUCAACCCCCAGCCUGCAGUGGGUACGGGCAGACUAGAGUGCGGUAGGGGAGAUUGGAAUUCCUGGUGUAGCGGUGGAAUGCGCAGAUAUCAGGAAGAACACCCGUGGCUAAGGCGGCUCUCUAGUACGGUACUGACGCUGAGACGCGAAAGCGUGGGGAGCGAACAGG